ensembl:lncRNA
UGGAAAUUCUUUUAUAAAAACAUGGUCAAAAAAUGGAAGAAAUUAUAUACAGAGCUGACAUGUCAGAUCAAUGCGGUUGUUUCCAGAAACACCUACCUGGGUCUAAUGGGAUGCUUUUAAAAAGAUCAAAUCAAAGUUUAUUUACAUCGAGGGUACAGGUCAUUGUGUCAUUACUAAGGCAGUUCGUUCUGUUCUGUUCUGAAGCAUCAGGUCAUUACUAAGGCAGUUCGUUCUGUUCUGAAGCAUCAGGUCAUUACUAAGGCAGUUAGUUCUGUUCUGCAGCAUCAGGUCAUUACUAAGGCAGUUCGUUCUGUUCUGAAGCAUCAGGUCAUUAGCUUCUAACAAUGCAGUAAAAUCUGGUUUUAAUGUCUGUUAUUAAAAUGUCAAACAAGUACAACAAUAAUUUAAAUGUUUUUUUUUUUUUUUUUUUAAG